CGUGUAGGCGGCCGAUUAAGUCUGGAGUGAAAGUCCUGCUUUCAAGGUGGGAACUGCUUUGGAGACUGGUUGGCUUGAGUGCGGAAGAGGUAAGUGGAAUUCCCAGUGUAGCGGUGAAAUGCGUAGAGAUUGGAAGAACACCAGUGGCGAAGGCGACUUACUGGCCGUAACUGACGCUGAGGCGCGAAAGCGUGGGGAGCGAACA
rnacentral:rRNA from 1 species